GAAAUGCGAUAAGUAAUGUGAAUUGCAGAAUUCAGUGAAUCAUCGAAUCUUUGAACGCACCUUGCGCUCCUUGGUAUUCCUUGGAGCAUGCCUGUUUGAGUAUCAUGAAAUCUUCAAAGUAAAUCUUUUGUUAACUCAAUUGGUUUCUACUUUGGUAUUGGAGGUCUUUGCAGCUUCACACCUGCUCCUCUUUGUUCAUUAGCUGGAUCUCAGUGUUAUGCUUGGUUCUACUCGGCGUGAUAAGUUAUCUAUCGCUGAGGACACUGUAAAAGGUGGCCAAGGUAAAUGCAGAUGAACCGCUUCUAAUAGUCCAUUGACUUGGACAAUACUUUUAUGAUCUGAUCUCAAAUCAGGUAGGACUACCCGCUGAACUUAAGC
rnacentral:misc_RNA from 1 species